CCUACGGGUGGCAGCAGUGGGGAAUAUUGCGCAAUGGGGGGAACCCUGACGCAGCCAUGCCGCGUGAAUGAAGAAGGCCUUAGGGUUGUAAAGUUCUUUCGGUAUUGAGGAAGGUUGAUGUGUUAAUAGCACAUCAAAUUGACGUUAAAUACAGAAGAAGCACCGGCUAACUCCGUGCCAGCAGCCGCGGUAAUACGGAGGGUGCGAGCGUUAAUCGGAAUAACUGGGCGUAAAGGGCACGCAGGCGGUUAUUUAAGUGAGGUGUGAAAGCCCUGGGCUUAACCUAGGAAUUGCAUUUCAGACUGGGUAACUAGAGUACUUUAGGGAGGGGUAGAAUUCCACGUGUAGCGGUGAAAUGCGUAGAGAUGUGGAGGAAUACCGAAGGCGAAGGCAGCCCCUUGGGAAUGUACUGACGCUCAUGUGCGAAAGCGUGGGGAGCAAACAGGAUUAGAUACCCUUGUAGUC
rnacentral:rRNA from 1 species